AUGAGCAUUAUGAGAAGCCAUGGCCACGCUGGCAAAGAUAACUGGUCAAUUCACUGCCUCAGUUGGCCCAGCCACAGAAUGGGGAGAACAUGCCCACCCUGCGAGCCUGUGGCGAAGGUACGUAAGAGUACCGUGUGUGCCUGUGUGCCCCGUGUGUGCCCCGUGCAGGGUGAGCUCUAGUCUGCUCAGGCUGCCGUAACAAAGUAGCACGCACUGGGGGUUUAAACAAUGGAAAUUUAUUUUGUCAUGUAUGUAGAGGCUGAAGUCUGAGAGCAGGAUGUGGGCAGGGCUGGGAUCCUUCUGAGGCCUCUUUGGCCAGUAGACGGCCGUCUUCUCCCCAUGUCCCCACAGGCUCAUCCCUCUGCGCGUGUCUGUGGCCGGAUCUCUUCUUGCAAGGUCACCAGUCAGAUUGGGUAUGAGCACCCACAUGAGCUCGUUUUAGCUUAAGUGCCUCUUUAGAGACCCUCCCUCCAAAUGGGGUCCA
rnacentral:lncRNA from 12 species